rnacentral:snRNA from 1 species
GUGCUCGCUUGGCAGCACAUAUACUAAAAU